rnacentral:rRNA from 1 species
GUAGGUGGCAAGCGUUGUCCGGAAUUAUUGGGCGUAAAGCGCGCGCAGGCGGGUUCUUUAAGUCUGAUGUGUAAGCCCACGGGCUCAACCGUGGAGGGUCAUUGGAAACUGGAGAACUUGUGUACAGAAGAGGAAAGCGGAAUUCCACGUGUAGCGGUAAAAUGCGUAGAGAUGUGGAGGAACACCAGUGGCGAAGGCGGCUUUCUGGUCUGUAACUGACGCUGAGGCGCGAAAGCGUGGGGAGCAAACAGGAUUAGAUACCCUGGUAGUCCACGCCGUAAACGAUGAGUGCUAAGUGUUAGGGGGUUUCCGCCCCUUAGUGCUGCAGCUAACGCAUUAAGCACUCCGCCUGGGGAGUACGGCCGCAAGGCUG